GAGAAACAGAAACAGACGUUAGAACAAAACAUACAGGAGAAAUUCAAAGUAAUUUAUCAAAGGAAACUCUCUCUCUGUAACAAAAAUCAUUAUACUAGCUAAAGUAGGAUAAUAGAUAUCCUAGAGUCAGAGGAUUUAAAGUUAAGACUCAUUAUAGCUGGCCCAACCUGUGAAACCCACCACCUAAGCAAUUUUCUAGACAUCCUGCAGAAACCCUUGCGGAAAUACAUCAAAAAUUUCUUUAUAGACGAUCUGUAUAUGCUUGAGCACCUACCAAAAACAACUAAUGAAGAGACAUUAUUGGUUUCCUUCGAUGUUAUUAAUCAAUAAAAUUCUGGCUGGAAAAAUACCUCGAAGAACUUCCAGAACGCAUAAACCAGGUUUUUAUUAUUGAAAAUUUAAAAUUUAUACUCCAGAAUGAUUAUUUCCUAAUUAAUAUAAACCCUAACAUCCAAUUUACAAUGGAAUAUAACAAAGAACAGCUCCCUUUCAUAGAUAUUAUGAUUAAAUAAGUUAACAACCAAAUUGUAACUGACAUUUAUCAUAAACCAACGAACUCGAAACAAUAUUUUCUUUUUAGCUCAUGCCACCUGAAACACAUCACAAGAAAUAUCGCCUUUAAUUUAGGGAAAAGGAUUUGCACAAUAGUAUCUGAUGGAAAUACCUGGUACCUCCAUCUUCAAGACCUCAGAACAAUACUAAUUGAGAGACAAUAUCCACCCUCGCUUAUAGACGAUGGAAUUAAGCGUGCCAAGAAAUUGGGUAUUAAAAUACAAAGGAAAACAAAACGUAACACCACACCACAUCUCAAAACACUACCGUAUAUAUCAACUCACAACCCCAGAAACAAUAAGGCAUACAACACUAUUGUACAAGAUCUACCUAUGUUCACUAGGAAUCCCAAAAUGAGCAACUAUCUGAAAACACAUGAAUUCGUCAAAUGCAAAAAGCAACACAAAUCGCUGAAACGACUUAAAAAAUGUGGACGCCCAAACUGUGGAACAUGCCCAAACCUGUUGGAAGGCUCGGGAUUCCAUGUUUGUUUUCGUUUGGUUUCCUUGUAUGUCUCCACUGUCCUGUUUUUGUUCCCAACUUUAACCCUCCAUCAAUGGGAGCAACUGUCUCCAUAUUGGAGCAACUGUCUUCAUAUUGUCGUUGAUUGCUCGAAAUGGGGAGUAGAUAGGUCGUCAACAACUGAUGAUGGGUCGUUCUUUGUAUUCUUUGUAUUAUUUGUCCUACUUUCCAUUUUCUCUCUCGUUGUUUGCGUAUUUAACUCAUUUGUUUUCGUAUUUCAUGUUGCUUACUGUUGGUGACGUCCAUAUAUGCAUAUAUAUAUAUAUAUAUAUAUAUAUAUAUAUAUAUAUAUAUAUAUAUAUAUAUAUAUAUAUAUAUAUACUAUUAAUAAUGAUCAGGAGAGCGGAGAUUUAUUCCACAUCUAUAAUUUUAUUAGACAGCUAUUUACAGCAUUCUUUCGUGGGCCUACGCACGUUUCAACAGCAUCGACUGCACAUUGUUAGAUAUGCAUCAUUCAGUAUAUCAUUCUAGUUAUUUCAAGGAGAAUAUUCCUAUUUUUAGAUUUAUUCAUGUAAUUUUGAUUGACUUUUUCUUUCACAAUUGUUAUGCUAGUAAUUUAUUAUUUUCUAGCUAUAUUACGUGUAAUAUUCAUUAGUACUAUCAAAAAGUUUAUCAUUCUACUCAUUUCAUGAAGAAUAUUCUUGUUUUUAGAUGUGUGCAAUUAAUUUUGAUUCUUUUUUUCAUAAUUGUUAUUCUAGUAAUUUAUAGAUCGCAUCGUUUAUUCCCUAUACUAUACAGUUUAUCUCAGUCAAUUGAAUAUACUUUAUUACUGUCCUUCAACGACCAAAUUAAUUUGCUUAGGCUUGUAUGAUUUUUUUUUGUUUUUAUCACUAAAAGAAUUUUAGUGGCUGGCUAUUCUUUGUUUUAUAAAACAUGAACUGGUACCUAUAUAGAAAUAUUCCACAUCUUCUGAUGUAACUUUACACCUGUAAGCUGCAUUUCUAAUUUUACAUUCAGAUUUUAACGGACAUAUUCUACCUCUUGUGCAAUCGCAAUUAUUAAAUCUUCUAAAUUCUAUUAUUAUUUUCUAUUUUGGUUCGAUUUCUGGUAAUCCUUAAUUUAUUUCGUCUAUGUUCCAAGUUAUUUUCGCUAUUCUUAUCGUUGACAUUCCAUGUACUGCACUUUCUAGCGUUCUUGUCUUCCCAUUCUAGUCUCGCGUUUCGGUUAGUUAAGGUUGCUUCCUUUUGAUUAGUUACUCUGGUAUAGCUAUUUCUCGGGUCCCUAGCUAUCUUAGGUUAACCUCGUUAGAUUAACCGCAGUUAGGUUAAUCUCGUUACUGUUUAUUGCUAAGUCACUAUUUCUAUUCAAGUUAUUGUUAUUAGUAUUCUCAUAGAAAUUACUUAAUUUACUUUACACAUUUUUCUCUGUCGAUUUUUUUCUUUUCAUUCUCUCUCAGCUUUUUCCUCUUAAUCCUUUCUGUCGAAGAGCGCAGGCUCAAAACGUAAAAGACUUUGCCAUUCUUCCCGCGUAUUAAACUAAUACACCUGCUUGUUGCGCCUACGCCUGUCUUCGUCAUUUGUUUCUGUAAAUUUGAACUAUAUAUAUAUAUAUAUAUAUAUAUAUAUAUAUAUAUAUAUAUAUAUAUUUCAACAAUUGAGGGUAAAAUUAAUUAAUUAUUAAUCAAUUUCACCAAGUGUUCAGUAUGCAAAGGGACCAUUUAAGGCGAAUUCAAAUUAUUACAUUAUAUAAAAGGGCUUAGUAAAAUAAAUUACUUUGCCGCAUACUGAACUCAUUAGAAAUAGCAGCUAAAAAACUCUUUUAAAGCUAUUUCUAAUACUUAAAGAAAAUCUCUCUCAUAUAGUGCUUGCUUAACUCAACUCACAAAAGUUUGGGGGUAAGGACAUCAAAAAAUCAAAUGCAAAGGUUAUUUGAGAACGUACGUUUCAAGAUUAGUCAAUACGACACUUCUAUCAUCAGCUCAGAAACUCCUUGGUUUGGAUUUGAAAACACUGAAAGUAAGAACAUACCCUUUCGGCUUCUCAUCGCUUUCGAAGAUCUGCUCGUAACUAACAGUGUCAACAAACUCAAAUAUGCAAGCGAAGAAUUUCUGUUCUCCCCUUUCCACCAGCGUGGGUUAAAAUCAUCAAACACUAUGCUUAUUUCGGUAAAAUCCGAAGCAUUAAUUAGAGGGAGAUUAAUUAUAAUUUCAACAAUUGAGGGUAAAAUUAAUUAAUUAUUAAUCAAUUUCACCAUAUAUAUAUAUAUAUAUAUUAUAUAUUUAUAUUUAAAAAAUUUAUAUAUAUAUAUAUAUAUAUAUAUAUAUAUAUAUAUAUAUAUAUAAUUGGAAAAUAGAGAAAACCACAGAUUAACAAACACAUCGACUGGACCACAUUUAUAGCUUAUUUUUUAAUACAAAGCAUGACAUAACAAAAUAGGUGACGUAACAUAUCUUAAGACCGUUACUGAUCGGCGACCAAAAUGCAGUCUUUAAAUAAAUGCAAGAAUAAAGUUCUUCAUCUUCAUAAAGCAUUCAAAUUAAGGCAACUGAUCUUCAUCAGAGUGAAAAAACAAGAGCAUACUAUAUACACAAAAGGGAGAAGGAAAAGGAAAGAAAACAUGGCUUAGACAAAUAGUCUAGAAGCCUAUUAUGUUAAAGGCAAAUAAUUUACCAUCAGGAGCUACAGGGUCCGUAGGUAAAAGAGUGAGCUCACUCUUUUAGGACGAAAGGAGAGAGAGCGAAGAGACAACAUUUCUGCGGCCCAAAGAUUAGACUGUGCUGUUGAGCGACUUCAUACUACUCAGUCUGGUGUUCUUUUUUUAGUGCACAGUCAGGUUCCUUGGUGUACACACUCUGGUUCCUAUAAGUUUACAUUUAUACUUUUAUCUCCAACAGCACGUUAAUAACUGAAUCUAAACCAAAAUAGUCAUGUCCCCUGCCACUUUGAUUGGAUCUUCACCAACCUAAAGCCAUUUGAGUGACCGUUUCUGUGAGUGCAAUCAUAAUGAGCAGAAUAACACCCUAACGAUCUCCAAACUUGUAAAUAGACGUUUUAAUUAUCGAGGUCGUUUCCUCAACCAUCAUUGGUUGUGGAGUCACCUUAUAUCACAGCUCAAUCUUCAAAAAAGAACACAAUGAGAAAAAUUUCAUCUUUCUUCUAAGCUCUUCCUAUCUUACAUGUUUUAUGAACGCCUCACAUUCUCCUAAUUCAUCUCAACUCCUGUGUUUACUUUUUACUUAACUUCUGCAUGUUUGUAUAUAAAAAUGAUUAAAGUGGACACUUCUGUCACUUUCUAUGUAUGGGCAUCCAGUUGUUCGAUCAGCUGGACAACAUAUUCAUUAAAUUAGCGUGCAAAGUGGCUGAAUAUUCCAUAUAACUUUGACAUAAUUCUCAACAUUCCUUCUUUCCUCCUUCUCUUCCAUCUUCCUUCCUUCCUUCCUUCCUUCCUUCCUUCCUUCCUUCCUUCCUUCCUUCCUUCCUUCCUUCCUUCCUUCCUUCCUUCUUUCCUUCCUAUCCUUUAACCAUGUAGUCGUUGGGGCAUUCGUUGAUGACGUCGAAUCCAGAUUUUGCCUCAUAUCUCGGUCAUCUGCUGCUCUCUGUGAGUCGGCAAACUUGAGGCAUGUUCACUCUUUGGUGCUAACGUGAGCGACGACCAAUCUGAUAUGGGUCCUAGUCUGGUUCUCAUCAUCAUGAAUGCUUCAAGGGCAAGUUAGUAUGGUGGCGCCCAUCCCUCUCCAAGCUGUUAGUCACAUCCAUAUGCCUCUACCUGAGACACGCCUUGGCCCUGAACACUAGGCCGUUGGCCUGAGCGUGUCCCACUGCCCUAGCAGGUGACUCCUUGGGGAGUUUUACUCGGUGUCUUUCACCGACGGAUUUCUAUACGUUUUUCCUCGGCCAAAAUCGAUUCACAAGACUCGGAUCAUCCCGAGCUUACGAUAAAAACACAUGGACACAAUAUUAUGCAGUGGGAUUACACUUCCGGUCUCUCAACACUCAGCCUUAACUGUGUUCGUACGCACGCACGCGUAUGUGUAUGUUUUAAACUCCUUUCUCUCCUAUAAAUCAGUUAAAUCUGGAGAUAAAGAUUUAUUUUCCUCCUUUUCAUAGAAUAACCGGUACUCGUGAUGAAAGCUAUAAUACUAUUAUUAAAAAUCUUAGAAUUAUAUUAUUGGUUUAAGCUGUAACUCUUUAUUUUAUCUCUUUAGUUAAAUCCUUUCCUAUAUAUAUUUUAUGGAUUUAAAUAUAUACGCUGUAACAUUCAUUACGAAAAUACUGGUAUAUUUUGUAUGCUUUAUAUUGUAUAUUUCUUCAAUCUCUUUUAGUGCCUUUUACGAAACAGACGUGUUUUUCUGCUGUUGCUCUCGCUUAAUUGUAAGUUUUCCCUUUUGGGAUUACCGUUGUAUUUUUUUAACUGUUAUACAACUUUUGCUGUUUUUUGUGCCUUUUGGACACAUUGCCUGCUUUAGCAGGUUCGUUUUUUGUGCGAAUUCCCCCUAUUUAGAGGCGAAUUGUUUUCUUUUGUGGAAAUUUUUUUUACACAGUCAGUACAACAUGAAAGUUGACAUCUCCCAAUAUGUAAUUCUAGACUACUUCUUGGAGGAAUUGUGCGAACAAAUGUUACCCUCUCUCCCAUUUUGCCAAACGAGGGAAGAGAAAAAUAUACCAGAAACCUUCCUCCGAAUUGAAACACAGAAUGGUAAUGGAAAAAUGAACUGCGCGUCCGUGGCUGGUGUCACUAGCGAAAAAGUGCAAGUCAGCCCGGCGAGCUCGAAAAAUAUAUAAACUUAUUGCAGAGGGAAGGAGCGAACAUGAAGCUGACUCCCCCAGAAGAAGUGAUAUACAACACGAAACACAAAACAAUAGUUUAUAGAACGCUGUCUCGGACAACAAAAAGGAUACCAAUUUGGCACAACAGAAAAUACGUAAAUAGAGGAGGGUGCUUCGACAUGGUAGAGGUGAGAUUCGCUUCCGAAGAGGAGGCAAAAGGAACACUUUACGCCUUCCUUAAAACCGGCAGAUCUGGUGCUACUGCCGACUUACCUUGGAAUGCGAACAUCGAAAAUAAGGAUAGGGGAGGUCCCACCAGAAAUCGAUGCGGUGUGGCUGAAGGUGGCCAUGCUGCUGGACCUGGAAGAUAGAGCCGCUAUCCUUCAGGCCACUAGGCUACACCAGCAGAACUGAUGGGGCCAAGGUCUGGAGCUAAUAAGCCAGACCGCCCAGAGGAACUUGGAAGAAAUAUCAAGGCAAAUAAUACUUCCGGAGGAGGCCACACUAAGAGUCAUAACGAAGGAAAGAAGUCCACUGUGCUUUAAGUGUGGGCAAGAGGGCCACAUAUAAACCACGUUCCCACAGAAGCACCCCUCCACCUAGCAACCCACCACAGUCUGACGACCCGAAAGAAAGCAAGAGGGAGCCAACCAGCACCGUGACGAAACAACCCAUCAACCCACCACAUUUUGUCUGGCCUGUACUGUGAAUGAAAAGUAUAUGCCUUGCUACAUGUGUGAGAUGAUUGAACGUGAGUACCAGUGAUCCUAAAAGAAAAUCAAGAGACAAUGCGACAUUCCUUUUUCAUCAAGUGUUACAUUUUGUCUAAUCAUAUGUUGCUCCAACCCAUUUUGUCUGUCCUGAUUUAUGAAUGAAGAGUGUAUGCCUUGUUACAUGUGUAAGUGAAAUGACUUGAACGUAAGUACCGUGAUUCUAAAAGAAGAUCAGUGAUGAUACGUGGUUUGUGGGGCCCCGUGUCCAGCACUCCAUUUUUAUCAUUUCCACUCUUUCAUUAUCCAUUCGCUAUUUUGACUCCCAUGUUUUGUCUGUCUUGUAUUGUCCCUUCUGUGUAUUAGUCUUUUAUGGUAAAUAAAAAAUACCUGUAUAUAUAUAUAUAUAUAUAUAUAUAUAUACAUACAUAUCGUAUUUUUUCUACCUCUUACUUCCGUUUGUGAAUGUAUAUAUCUUCAAUAACAGACCUUGACACGUGUGUGGGCUUAUGUCCAUGCGGUUACUUACGCAUUUGGAAUUUUAAAAAAGCGAUUUUUAAUCAGCAUCGAUUUUUCAAAAAUCGUAAAAUAUCGGCUUUUUUCACACUAGCCAUCGUCACAUCAAUUUGACGAAAAAUGCCAAAAUUUGACAAAAUAUGUUUCAUGGGUAUAAACAGACAUCUUAUUAACGGUAAUUUAUUUAGCACUUGCUAGUUCUGCAUUUCAAUGGGAAUUGUUUUGAUCUUCUAAAACUUAAUAAUAUUUCAAUUCGUUAUUUUAAUUCUCCAGUGUAUCAGGUUUUGAUUAGGUAAGAGCAUUUUAUUUCUCGAGCAAACUUUAGGCAUUUUGCACACUAGCCGUUGGGACAUCAAUUUCACGAAUUCUGCUCCAAAGCGUAAAAUUUCGUCAUUUGACGCACAUGCAUAAAAAUAAGGAUGACAUGGGUUCGCUACCAGACUCUAUUCAUUCUUACGUCUAAUUGGUCCUACCCAUUAAUAUAGAUUUUAAUUUUUUGAAAAAUGUCGAAAUUUGGCGAAAAAUGUUUCAUAGCUAUAAACAACAUCUUAUUACCAGUAAUUUAUUACCGGAUACCUCAACUAGUUUAUAAAUAUAUAUACAAAAAAGCCAUUUAGUGAUUGACGAAUUUGUCUGCGUGAUUUCAGUGCUUGUUUCGCGUGAGCGCAUGUUUGUGUGAAUACAUACAUACAUACAUACAUACAUACAUACAUACAUACAUAUAUACAAAACAAAUAGUAAGGGAUUAUCAAUCCGGGCAAAAUACUUCAUAUAUAUUAUUUAGCAAAACAACCAAAACGUAAUCGAGCAAGACAAAAGAAAAAGCAAUAAAAUAUGGAUUACUCGCAUACAUGUUUCACUAUUAACAUAUUACGUAAUUUUACUCACAUAAAUGUCCGUAGAUCAUUGGUACGACCGUCCAGAUGAAUAUAAUUAUAUAUAUAUAUAUAUAUAUAUAUAUAUAUAUAUAUAUAUAAUUAUAUUCAUCUGGACGGUCGCACCGAUAAUCUAUAUAUAUAUACACGCGCGCACUGCGCGCCCCCACACACACACACACACACACUCAUACUUAUACAAACAACUAACCGUAUAUGUAUGCGAAUCAAAAAGUAAGGCAAAUAAAAAUUGCAUUAAGCUGACUAAUCCACGGAUGUAUAAUUGUAUGUAUGUGUGAAUAUGCACCAGUGUGUGUUUGUGUGUGUGUGUGUGCAUGUGUGUAUGCAUUAUAUAUGCAUGUAUGUAUGUAUUUAUAUGUAUGUAUGUGUGUGUGUGUGUGUGUGUGUGUGUGUGUGUGUGUGUGUGUGUGUGUGUGUGUGUGUGUGUGUGUGUGUGUGUGUGUGUGUGUGUGUGUGUAAGUAUUUAUUAGUCUCGCUAUACCUAAGCGAAAUAUAAUGAGCGGUUAAGUAUAAGAUAUCGUACAAAAAAGUAUACAUAUGGGGUAAUUCAAUUACCCCUUAUAUUCGAUACCAUAUUUUACGAUAUUUUAUCCACCCGUAAUGAAGAGGAUAGUUCUUUUUAUUGCUUUGAAAUAUACUAUGUACUUCUACCCAUAUGACAAUCUAAUUCCGUUAUACAUUGAUUUUAGAAUGUCUUUAUCAUGAUCUUAAACAAUAUGCUUAGAGUAUUCUUAAUAUUUUUUCUUAUAUAUUAAGAUAUCCGAUUAUAAGGCUUAAGUUAAAUUUCUAUCCUUAUUCUACUGGGUGAUUCAAAAGUCGCCAUACAUAGGAACAAUUUAUUUUCUAUAAGAAACAGUUUUUGUUUUAUUUAACUGUUUCUUAUAAAAAAAAUAAAUUUUUCUUAUGUAUGGUAAAUUUUGAAUCACCCUGUAUAUACUGAUUUAAAUUUUCUCAGUUUUAUAUUAUAAAUUUGGUAAGUUAUAAAUUACUACCUCCCGUAUCCUUCAAUUCUAAUUUCCACCCUAAAAGUUUAUAUUAUUUAUCUCUUUUGGUUUUUCAUUAUAUUCCCCUUUAUUUGAUAAACUAAAUAAGUAUUGUAUACCCCUAUCCUUCUUUCUUCCAGCUACCGCCCCUUCCCCACGAGACGUUUUUUUACUACCAGCCUUGCAACUUACCCUUUUAUGUAGAUAAAGCCAGAUAUAUGGUUCCAGUACAUUGAGUGUCUAGUAGAUUGUAUGACAUUAAUUAAUUUAUCACCAUUAACUAGAAUACAGUUGACAACUCCUAUUGGAUUUAAUUCCAAAUGGUUGAAGACUACAUACUACAUAAAAUCUUCUAAAUAUAAGCAACUACGUCACCACUCUUUUUAUCUUGACCCCCACUAUUCCCUCUGCUCCUCUCGAAAUUAUGAUAGGCUUAACAAGGUAUGCAUUAUCUUCUAAACUCAUUCUGCCAGUUAUAACAAAAGGAAAUAAUGUAAAUAUUUUGGUUUCCAUUAUUAAUGUAAAUUCGUUAAAAAAAUGGUUUAUUCUUUAUGCUUGAAAUCUAUGCGUUCAUCUGACGAGAACGGUUUCUUUCAAAUUGAUGUAAUGUUUUCAUUAAUCAAUGAAAUGGAGCCGCUUGAAACAGCCGUAAUGAAUUGACACCUGUACAUCUUUGUUACUUAUUUAUAUUCUGCUCACCUAAGUUGGAAUCUACGCUUCGGAAAUACUAUAGAAAGUACCUUUUUAAAAAGUACAUGUCUGAAUUACCAUGAGCGGAUGUCUUCACUUAGCUGGGUUGUGUUGUCUGCACACAAGACAAAAAUAUUGGAUACAAAUACCCCUACACGGAGUCUUGAUAGACAAUAUUCAAAUAAUAUUCUUGGGGUGUGCAGAUUAUACUGAACUAGCAAGGUGCCUCAAUUUAAGUACUUAAUUCAACUGAAUCUUAAUUAUAUAUAUAUUUGAUAUAUAUAUAUAGGGGUGAGAGAUACAUAGGGAGAGAGAGAUGCAUAUAUGUAUGUAUAUGUCUGCGUGUAUAUAUUCAUGUAUAUAUAUAAGCAACAAGGAUAUCCAAGGUAGAGUAGUACAAUUGUUUCAUGCUACUUCAUUUUAUUAAACACUAAGUAUUACAUCAGUUUUAAAAUGUUGAGCAAUCUUCAGAUGGAGAAUGAACAUACUACCAUCAUGUUCUUAAGAAUGAAAUUAACCUCUCUGUCUAUAUAUCUACCCUCUUUAUAAUGUUGGCAAAUGAAAUAGGGAUAAGAAUGUACAUUGUCUGUUUAAUUGGAAAAUUCUAUUUGUGGCUGAAGAUUGCUCGACAUUUUAAAACUGAUGUAAUACUUACAGUGUUUAAUAAAAUGAAGUAGCAUGAAACAAUUGUACUACUCUACCUUGGAUAUCCUUGCUUAUUUUGAUUAUAAUCACCCCAUUUGGUAUAUAUGGAUAAUACCAUACAAAAUUCUGGUGCCUUUAACUUAAGUACCAUAUUCUUCUGAAUCUAAAUGUUGCUGAACUUAUAUAUAUAUAUAUAUAUAUAUAUAUAUAUAUAUAUAUAUAUAUAUAUAUAUAUAUAUAUAUAUAUAUAUAUAUUACGGAGAUGUACUUACAUAGAAAGUGACCUGAUCUGAGAUCAUGCGCUGGAACGAAAGCAAUUGCAGCGUGGAAGGUGUUUAUAAACCAUUUAAAAACACACAAAAACCGUUAGAUUCACUUCAACAUUUAAAUUUAAUUUGCCAAAAUAUUUUCGUCGCUUUGAGAGCGCGACCUGAUCACUGACCAGUGAAACUAACGGUUUUUGUGUGUGUUUUUAAUGGCUUAUAAACACCUUCCACGCUACAAUUGUUUGUAUAUAUAUAUAUAUAUAUAUAUAUAUAUAUAUAUAUAUAUAUAUAUAUAUAUAUAUAUGGGUAACUUAGUUAUAUCAUCUUUUUUAAUCGAAGUUUUUCUAUAUUCGUGUAAAAUUUCACCUUGCUGGUAAACCCCCAAAUCCAAUAAUAUUUUAAAACUUUCUCAGACUCAUCGGCAGGCUGUGUGUGUGUGUGUGUGUGUGUGUGUGUGUGUGUGUGUGUGUGAGAGAGAGAGAGAGAGAGUGUGUGUGUGUAAAGGUAAGAUCUAAUGAUCAUGGUGUAGGAUCUAAGGAUCAAGUUAGUAAGCUUCGAGUAGUCUGUAGAAGAUAUUAAAACGAACUUUCAGAAAAAAUAAUGGUUUAUUGACGUAGAAGGUUGUAAAUUUUUCUCAUUUCGAAGUUCGAUUAGCUGAAAAAAGUUAUUUUAUAGCUUACAAUUAGCAGCCGGGGCUGCUGUGUAUGCUAGUAGAUAAAGCCAGGCUGCAUAUGUUUUAUAGCUAGCGGAACCUCGGAAGUAGUCCAAACGAGGAGUAAUCUGCUAGCUACUCGUCAGACCAAAGAUACCUUCGAUUCGAUCUAAAAUGCGUGGAAAGCACUGAGUUCGAGAAGAAAAGAGAAAGCAUAUUUGUGAAGAAGUAAUAUAUGGGAGAGGGUAAAUGUCUAAACUUGUUAAGGAAAAGAAUGAGAUUAUGAAAACGAAAAGGCAAGGGGGACGAGAAGGAGGAAAGUUUGGUAUUAUUGAAGCUGGUUAAGGGAAUAUCUGUGUGAAUUUAAGCUGGGGUCAUUUACUGGGUCUACUGUUGAAUAAAUAAGUAAAUAUAUUGUGGCACUCUGUAAGUACAUUUAAACAGAGUCAUAGAAAAAGAUUUAGUAGUCGUAUCAAUUUAGAUGUUUUAGGAGAGGUGGGGAGAAAAGAGAGGGAGGUGGAAGAUGAUGCUUUUGGUUUGUAAGGGUACAUAGUAGUUCUAGGUACGUUGGUGGUUUAUUGCUUAAUUUUAAAACUAUAUAAGCGCAUAAGAGCGCGCAGACAUGUAUAUUUUUGUGCGCCUGUUGUAUGUAGUAGGUGUAUAUCCGUGCUUGGGUGCUUGUAUAUUCUAAUGUACAGGUGUGGGGAGAUAAAAAUUUCAGGAAAAUAUAAGGUAUAGAAAGAUAAAGUAAUAAAAUGAAAUUAUGAAGAAAUAUAAAAUGAAAUAAUGUAAAAAUUAUAAAGGUAGUCAAAAAGUUGUUAGUUAUAAAUACAUAGAAGAGCUGCAAGUGGGGGUGGGGCAGAGGAAUAGUUAGGGAAUGGCACGUUGGGUGACACUGCUAUUUGUACUUUGAGAAUGUGUUGCAUAAUUUAUGUUGACAAUUAAAAAUCAGAUUAUUUCGUUCGUUCAAACAAUUCGUAGAUUGCAUAAUAGAGAAGCACUCUCACUGCUCCCAAUGUAUUAAUCCGUCAACUGGCACUCCAUUGGUUACGACAACGAGGGUUCCAGUUGAUCAACGGAACAGCCUGCUCGUGAAGUUAACGUGCAAGUGGCUGUGCAACCCACAGACACGUGUACCAUCAACGUAGCACUCUGGGAAAUUCAGCGUGACACAGAAUGUGACAAGGCUGGCUCUUUUGAAAUACAAGUACAACUUAUUUUUGCCAGCUGAGUGGACUUUGGCAACGUAAAAUAAAGGGUCUUGCUCAAGGACACAACGCAUUAAGGGGAAUUGAAAGCACGACCUGACGAUCGUAAGCCGAAUACCCUAACCACUAAGCCACGCGCCUUCACACUCAGUCAGCAUCAGUCAACAUUUAAUCUUUCUCCCUCUCCUUCUCUCUUUUUCUCUCUUUUCCUCUCCCUCCCAUAUCUCCCCCUCCGCCCAAAAUGUUAGAUUUUUCUUCCUUGUACCACAAUUUGUAUUCUAUUGAGUUAUUUCUAUCAACUUUUGAUGGUCACCAGUUUUUGAAACAAUACUAGUUUCCUCUAUAAUUCUUGUUUUACUGUAUUCUUUUUAAGAUGUGGUUUGAAUCCGUAUCUUAUGAAGCCCACUGUCACAAAUACAUUGCCAAUACUUGACGUACAGUUUGCUUUAAGUGCAUACAAACAAUCUUAUUCUUAAGCGUAUGGAUUUUGUAAAAUAACUAUGAAGGAUUUUAAGUAAUGAACGUUGAAAAUAAUUACAAAUAGAUAAUUAUUGGGAUAAAUAUCUUUUUGUUGUUGUUUAAUAAGAUAUUCUUUUCAGAUUUUUUUAUACGGGAUAAUAGUAAAUAAAUAUUUAAUUCUUAGACUUCUGAGCAAGUCUUGGGAAAAAAAUCGUGUAUGGGGAUUAUAUUUACAUCAAAUUUAGAAUACAAAAUAAUCAUUUUUAUCAGGCGUGUUUACUUCCCAGUCACUUAGUUCCGGGUUCAGUCCCACUGUGUGGCAUCUUGGGCAAGCGGUUUCUAAUGACCAAAGCUUUAUGAGUGAAGUUGCUAGACAGAAACUGAAAGAAGCAGGUCAUGUGUGUGUGUGCGUGUCCCACCACUGCCUAGCAACCGAUGUUGACUUGUUUCGUGUCUUCGUAACUUUAGUGGUUCGGCAAGAGUAACCGAUAGACUUAAGUACCAAACUGGAAAAAAAUAAGUAUUGGCGUCAAUUUGUUCGUCUAAAACCUUCAAGGUGAAUCCCCAGCAUGGUUGCAAUUGUCCAGUGACUGAAACAAAUAAAAGAUACAUUUUUUUUCUAUUCUAUUCUAACUUUACUUUACAAUGUUUCGGUCAUUUGUUGUGUAGAGUAUUAGAGUGUGUGUUAUUUUGUUAGGCGGAGGUAUUUUGCGUGUGUUGUAUAUAUACAUACACUCAGAGAGAGAGAGAGAGAGAGAGAGGUGUUUGGUUGGGUGCUGGUAUUCGUCUGUUUCAAGACCGCUGUCCUAUACAAUAAUCACCAGACACUGAAGGACAUAACAUAACGUAUAUUAAACACAAAAUACAACACACACAAAAAACCUCCGCCUAACAAAAUAGAGCCGGAAGAAAUGCUGCUAAAGAGCCGGAAGAAAUGCUGCUAAAGAGCCGGAAGAAAUGCUGCUAAAUAUUUUGAUCAUGGCGCUUACGAUUCUGUGCCCGCUUCCUUAAUGAGCAGAAAGAAAAAAAUGAAAGAAAAAAACCCAGAGUUUGCAUUUAUAUAAUCCUUCUUUCUUCACUGUGGUGAUAGGCAAGAUUUAAAAAUUUAGGACUCUUAAUUUUAUUAAACUUGGCAACUGAUCCGAUCCCCUUUCAAUCCUGACUGAGUCAGUCUCACUUAUGAGGAAAUACUUACUGUUAACAAAACUAAGGCGGCGAGCUGGCAAAAACGUUAGCACGCCGGGCGAAAUGCUUUGCGGUAUUUCGUCUGCCGCUACGUUCUGAGUUCAAAUUCCGCCGAGGUCAACUUUGCCUUUCAUCCUUUCUGGGUCGAUUAAAUAAGUACCAGUUACGCACUGAGGUCGAUAUAAUCGACUUAAUCCGUUUGUCUGUCCUUGUUUGUUCCUUCUGUGUUUAGCCCCUUGUAGGUAGUAAAAAAAUAAGUAUUUCGUCUGCCGUUAUGUUCUGAGUUCAAAUUACGCCGAGGUCGACUUUGCCUUUCAUCCUUUCGGGGUCGAUUAAAUAAGUACCAGUAAAUCACUGGGGUCGAUGUAAUCGACUUAAUCUCCUUGUCUGUCCUUGUUUGUUCCCUCUAUGUUUAGCCCCCUGUGGGCAAAAAGAAAUAAAUACUGUUAACAAAAGUCGGGAUGCGUGGCGUUCAGUUACUCAAUAAAAGAAAAAUGCAUUAAAUAUAUGAGGAAAUACUGCCGAGUGCGUUGUCCAGAGUGUAAUAAAUGACAGGAUGGUAUUCAAGUAGAUUGUGAAUUGUUGACACUAUGGAGGAAGUAUUUAUAGUAUCGAAUCUUCACUUUGUAGGAAUGUAUUAUCUUAUGUGGUGCUUGUGUAGAGUACGUUAUCUUAUGCUAUAUUAUACUGCGUUAUACUAUAUUUAUAUAAUUGGAUGAUUAUUCUAUAGUGUGUGUGUUGUGUGAAUUGUGUUAUUGUAUUGAAUGAAGUUUGUGCAGAAUAUUUGCUCUGUGUGUUAUGCAAAAAGUAUGCAUAGCAGAGGUGUGCUAUUGAAUUGAAUUCACCCAACGUAGAAUCUGGGUUAUGCCUAACAGAGCUAACUUUUGUACUCUAGGCAAAGUUGUGAACCCUCGCACUUUUUUUAAUUUUUAAAAUUUUAUUUAUAUUUUUGUGGCAUUUUUAUUGGAGCAUUAGCUACAAUUAUUAUUACUAGUGGAAUUUUAAUUUCCGUAUCUUAUAUGGUCCAUAUUUCAGUUUCAAGAGCCUUCUACUAUGACAGUUUCUUCAUCAUGCCUAAUCUUAUGAGUGUACCACUUUCUAUCCAUUUUUUCGUUGGAGUGUUUUCAUAUUGCCAAAGGCCACAGAUGCCGAGUCGACCAGUCAGUGGAAAUAUCUGGGACCUGGCAAAAUAUGCCUCUGCUAACAACAACCCAUAUCCUGCAUCAGAUACUUUCAAUUUAAUAGCACAACCCUUCACAUAACACUUUUUCAUAACACACACAACAUAUGCAGCACAUACUCUACACAAAUGGGUGUUGUUGUUGUUGGCAUCCUUUUGUCUCGGGAGACAAUGGAGUUGCGCAUAAACUAAUCCAGUCUGGUUUUUACAUUUCAUGUCCUCUUCAGUUUCCUCUCCAGUUUUGUGCAGGCGUGGGCUAGAUGUAAGAAAAUCCUAGGUAGCCCAAUCAUCAGGAUUCCUCUCUCGACCUUGCUGAUGUAGUCCAAAGGAGUGCAAAGCAUUACGUUUGGCACCAGCUUGGUUGUAGGAGCUGCCGGAAGAGUGUUGAGUUGAACACUAAACCGCCUACGGGGCUACACUCCGGAUUUCUUUGAAGGCUGUCUCCUUUCCGUAACCCUGGAUAAGGGCCCAUACCGGGUGCUGUCAGCCGGAGCCAGCUGAGCCCGGGACUCGUGUUAGGCAGGGUCAUCACUCCCUGAAGUAGUGAAGAAAAUCGUUAUCCACUACCUAGUACACAAAUCGGUGUACUAAUUACAUAUUACGCACUUGAUGUUAGUCUUUUUUUGUUCAUCAUUAUUUUUCUUCUGACAGUUAUUUGUGGUUAGUCAUUGAUUCUGGGCAGCUAAAAUUAGGAUUUCCUUCUCUGUCUUUAGCUCAGAUCUUUUGAGCCAGAUUUGAUUUCACUCUGACUUAUUGUCUCUCUCCAUUUAUUUUUUAUCAUGUUUUAGAAUUCCGUUUUGAUUCUGACAUUUGGUUUCUUUUCUUUUAACCCCCCCCCCUUUUUUUUUGCUUUCUCCUUAUCUAACUGUUUUUCUUCGGUGUAAAUAGUUUCUGUCUUAUAUUUUAUUGGUUCCCUUAUAUAUAGAAUGUAUAUUGUUUUUCCCUCAUGACCCCUUAUAACUCUAAUAAUUUUUCUCUUUGCUUGUCUCUAAGUAUUUUUUAUGGUCCCACUGCUGUUACUUUGUAACAGUUCUCUAUUUGUAUGAGGCCACAUUUUCCAUGUGCGCGUAGUAUGUUUGGUAUAUGUAUAUCUUUUCUAUAUUGGCUCUAAAGCGGCAACUUCGGAAUCCUGUUAGUAACUCUUUUUUUACUCUUUUACUUGUUUCAGUCAUUUGACUGCGGCCAUGCUGGAACACCGCCUUUAGUCGAGCAAAUCGACCCCAGGACUUAUUCUUUGUAAGCCUAGUACUUAUUCUAUCGGUCUAUUUUGCCGAGCCGCUAAGUUACGGGGACGUAAACACACCAGCAUAGGUUGUGAAACGAUGUUGGGGGGAGGGGGCAAACACAGACACACAAACACACACACAUAUAUAUAUACAUAUAUACGACGGGCUUCUUUCAGUUUCCGUCUACCAAAUCCACUCACAAGGCUUUGGUCGGCCCAAGGUGCCACGCAGUGGGACUGAACCCGGAACCAUGUUGUUGGUAAGCAAGCUGCUCAGUACACAGCCACUCCUGCAUCUUAGUUCGUAGUUUUUUGGGGGUUUUUUUGCCCAAACAUUUCAAUUAAUUUCCAAUGAAUCUAUUGACGUAAUAGUUUAUAACUAAACUGGCGAAUGUGUUUAUCGUAUGAUAUAUAUUUUAUAAUUCUUGCAUUACGUUCAGUUUUAGUAUUAAUCUGAUUCUUUUUAAGCAUUCUUUUUCUAAUUUUUCCCGUCAUUUCUGCGUGUAUAAUCUUAUCAAUUCAUCUCCUUUCUCAGUAUGCGCAUGGAUUUUUUUCUUCUAAUUCUCUGAUUUUAUUGUCUGGAACUAAUUUAUUGUUUUCGGGUUUUAGUUAAUUUGCUUCUUCUUCUUGUAGUUUAGGCAUAUUUGUCUACUUAAUUUUAUAUCUUAGCGAAAUUCAUGAACAACUUUUAGUAGGUCCAUCAUUUUGGUGUUGCCCUUGUAAAUAGCUUCAAGUCACUUAUCAUAGAUUAUGUUUAUUAAUUUGUCCAUAACAUACUCAAACGCUAAUAGGUAUCAUUCAGUAGAUUUGUUAAUGGGUCAGAACUAGGCAGCAGAAUAGAGUACAGUGACUAAAGAGCCUCCUCAAAUAGAAACCAUCAUCAUCAUCGUUGUCAUCUCGUCGUCGUUGUCGUCGUCGUCGUCGUUUUUGUUGCUAUAAUCCGCUUGUUUUGUCUUCCAUCUUUUUUCUUCCGUUUUUUCGGAUGUCGAUAAAAUAAAGUACCAGUUAAUUAUUGGUGCUCAUUUAAUCACCUAACUCGCAUGCUCCGAUUUCUGACCUUGUGUCUAAAUUAGAAACAACUAUUAUUAUUAUUAUUAUUAUUAUUAUUAUUAUUAUUAUUAGUAGUAUUAUUAUUAUUAUAUGUUUGACUUUUGCUUUAUAUUUGUACAAGUUGGCUCCAAGUCUCACCCAGAGACCUCAAGAGACAACAGGUUGGAAGUUCGUGAUGUUGUUAUGCCUAGUGUGCCCUAUAUUUGGUUUUGUAUUUUGUGUUGUACUAGUGAAUGUCAAAACAAACAAAAAAAAACCAAAAUUAUGUUUGUUUUAAAACUUGAGAUUACAUAGAAAGUAUUUUGCGUAGGAUUUGAGCAGUUCCCAUGAGCACUAUCUUUUGAAUUUCUGCCAUUUUGGGGUUUCCUGGUAUCUGAGUUAGGUAUCAUUUUGCUAUCAUUCCCAGUGCACCUAUGACAACAGGUAUUGUUUUUAGUCUUCUGGUUCCACAUUUUGCUGAUUUCUAUUGCAAGAUCUUUAUAUUUGCUCAGUUUUUGGUAGGUCUUGACAGAUACGUUUAUAUCGAUUGGGACAGUCAUAUCAAUGAGGAGGCAUGUUCUUUGUUUGAAGUCUUUCACUAUGAUGUCUGGCUUAUUUGCAUCUAUCUUUCUGUCAGUUUGAAUGGGGAAGUUCCAGAGGAGUGAAAUGUGGUCAUUUUCAAGCACUGGAGGUGGUUUGUGUUCCCACCAGUUUUUUUCAUGGGGCAAAUCCAGGUUUUUGCAGAUUACCCUGUGAAUAUAUUGUGCAGCUCUAUCAUGCCUGUUGAGAUAUUCUGUAGGCGCUAGAUGACUGCACUUGGAGACAACAUGAUCAAUGGUUUCAUUUUGUUGUAUUAUUAUUAUUAUUAUUAUUAUUAUUAUUAUUAUUAUUAUUAUUAUUGAGAGAGAGAGAGAGAGCAAUGCAUGUAUUUUAAGUGACACUGGGAUACAAAUAUAUGAAGCCCAAUAUACCCAUUGUGAGUACCCGACAGAUAAGGGUACACUAAUCACGUGCGCGACGAACCGAGAGGGAACUAUUUCAAACAGUAUGAAUAAAUCUGGGUGGUUGUCGCGACACGUUCCAAACGAGCCAAGAUAGCAAUGCAGUUUCAAUUGCUGUCUGCAAUAAUUGGUUUCAGCUCACUCGCGCCUCUAAUACUUUCAGAAAGGCGUGAAUAACACUUUACUUAUUUUCCUCUCCUAAAAAAUUGUACACCUCUUCCUAGAAAUAAGCAAAAUAUUUUUAACGUUUUAUGACAAAAAUGUUAGACUAAUAUUUAAAAUAUAGUGGCUGUAUGGUAAGUAGCUUCCUUACGAACCACAUGGUUCCGGAUUCAGUCCCACUGCGUGGAACCUUGGGCAAGUGUCUUCUACUAUAGCCUCAGGUCGACCAAAGCCUUUUGAGUGGAUUUGGUAGACGGAAUCUGAAAGAAGUCCGUCGUAUAUAUGUAUAUAUGUAUGUGUGUGUGUGUGUAUGUAUGUGUGUGUGUGUGUGUGUGUGUAUAUGUUUGUGUGUCUUUGUUUGUCCCCCAACAUCGCUUGACAACCGAUGCUGGUGUGUUUAUAUCCCCGUAUUUGCGGUUCGGCAAAAGCGACCGAUAUAAUAAGUACUAGGCUUACAAAGAAUAAGUCCUGGGGUCGAUUUGCUCGACUAAAGGCGGUGCUCCAGCAUGGUCACAGUCAAAUGACUGAAGCAAGUAAGAGAGUAAAAAAGUAAAAGAGAAUAUAUAUCUUUUAAAAAGGACGACCAGUUGGCAGUAACAAUAGAUUACCAAAAUAAAUGCAUUUUAAGAGUCGCAUCUCUUUAGUUUCCAGGUUUCAUUUUGGCUUACAUCAAUAUCAUGUCGAUAAAAUUAAUACCGGAAAUAUGCCGAAGUAAAUUUAUCAACAUAUUGACUUCUGUAUAAAUUGGUUUGACGUCGUCUCUUCCAAUAUUAAAUCCAAAGACGAUUGAAAAUUCUAACGUUUUGAAAUAAUACAUAAAAAUAUCUCAAAAUGUAUUUAAAAUAAUUUCGUCAAAAACCGAAAAUUAACCCUUUUGUUAGCAUAUUGUUGAAAUAACUUUUGUCGUUAAGCUAGUAUUUCAUUUCAUUUUUCAUUUUCAUCUAGUUUCAGCUCACGAGCUGUGACCAUGCUGGGGCACCGCCAUUCGGUGUUGCUACAUAAUUUUACUUUACGAAUGCUUUUUAGCAAUUGACAUUUGGUGCAUGAGAGAGUUUGAUGCAGCUGUCCUCGUCUGCACCUCCUGCCGUAAAGUUGGUUCAUCUGGGACACCUGAUAGGAAGAGGUCCAGCUUUAUUUUAAAGCAUCCGCAUCCGCAUCCACCCCAUGCAGGUCUCUCAGGUCCUUCGGCAGGAUAUUGAAGAGCUGUGGACCUCUGAAGCCCAGGGUAUCGCAGUAUCUUGUCCUACAUCUUGAUGGCAAAUUUAGAGUCCUUGGCACUAUGCAGUGGCGCCCAGUUCUAGUAUUUGUGUAACUCUCGAUGCCAAGUACAUGGAACAUAAAUUAUGGAGUUUUGAUGGAAGGUUUUAAUUUAGAUCCCUUUAAAACAGGGAGUUUGGACCAUUAAACAAGGGGCAUUUUCAGACGAGUUGGUAUCAAAAGGGUUAGAACUUUUUUUUAUGUGUGUGUGUGUAUAAAUUAUAAAAGUAAGAAAUUUCUCAUCAAAAAUUCGAUCCUCUUGAAAUUACAAAUAUGGUUUACAGAAACUCAUAUCAAUUCUCUUUUUUCUAAAGUGUUUUCCUUCAAAGAACAUUAAAAACAUGAAACAACGUCGAUGGAGGUGAUUCUGCAAACAACAAUAACAACAACAGCAGCAGCAGCGAGACGAAGAAGAGGAUACAGAACAAGAAGAACAACAACGACAGCAACAACGGCAGCGGCAACAGCGAAGACCACAGCAACAACCACAGUGACUAUAACAAUAACACCAACAACAACAACAGGAACCCCAACAAUCACUAUCACGGCAACAAGAACGACAACAAUAGUCACUGCGACAACAGCAACAACACCAACAACAGCAACUAGUGGAGGCGCAAUGGCCCAGUGGUUAGGGCAGCGGACUCGCGGUCGUAAGAACGCAGUUUCGAUUCCCAGACCGGGCAUUGUGAGUGUUUAUUGAGCAAAAGCAUCUAAGCUCCACGAUGCUCUGGCUGGGUGGGGGUUAACCCCGCUGUACUCUUUCACCACAACUUUCUCUCACUCUUUCUUCCUACAUCUGCCACAAAGCAGAGGAACCAUGGUGUAACCCACUAUGGUGUGGUAAACUUUCAGACCCUAGUCUAGAUUGCGAAUCCUCUGUACUCCAGGAUGGUUCAGCUCUCCACCCGUUAAAAGCCACCGUUUACAGAAUGAGGAUAACAACGUAGCUUUCGCGCCCGUGCAACCGCCAGUCUAUAGCGUGUGGCGGGUGGAUCUUCAAGUUUCCACACGCAUUCUUAGUAGCUUAGAGUAGGCUCGAAUUAGAGAUUAUUCUUUGUGAGCUAAUGGCGUGAGUCCUGAUUAGAAGAAGAAGAAGAAGAAGAAGAAGAAGAAGAAGAAGAAGAAGAAGAAGAACAACAACAUCAGCAGCAGCAACUUCGACAACAACGAAAGGAUAGCGGUAAGUAGACAAAGAGAAAGAGAAAGAGAAAAACCGAAAGAUAUUAAAUGGACAUAUGUCAACCUUCCGUACUACGGCAAACAAACUAAGGAAUGACGUCAGAAUCACGAGGAGGAGCCACACCCUCAGACAGUACUUCUUCCAGAACACAUGCUGCCUGAACCAAUGCUCCAUCAAAGCCAAACAGCCAACGGACAGCGCCCGGCUUUUGUUUUCAAACUCACGUGAAAUACGAGAUGAUGUGUACUUGUGGAGAAAAAUAUAUUGGACCGACUAAACGACAGCUUCACGUUAGAGUGAAAGAGCAUCUUCACAGAGCUACAACACCCAGCGCCGUAUUCCAAGACCACCAUCAUUGCGAUGGGGAGUUCUCCACCCGGAUAUUGGCCAAGCGAAAAAAUGCAGUCAACUUACGAAUAAAGGAGGCACAUUUCAUCAGGAAGAAAGCGCCCAGCCUCAACCGCCGAAAUGAACUUGACGACUGGAAGUUCAUUUACCGCCUACGGAACCUCUAACCAACGGCAGCAGUAACAACCACCAUGGAACGCCUGAUGAAAGUUUAUAGAUCCGAAAGCGCUCACUUCACCCAUUAACCCAAGAACUAACACACGCGACCAGUAGUUCCCCACUAUGUAUGUAUGUAUGUAUGCAUGCAUGCAUCUAUCUGUCUGUCUGUCUGUCUGUCUGUCUGUCUCUCAAAAAAACCAUUAGACCUUUUAAACUUUUGAACUUUUGAAAAAUUAAAAGGAAAAACUUUCAAACGAAGGUUUUCAAAAAUUUUCAAAGGAAGAUUUCCAAGGGCCUCCUAACUGUUCACUAUUCAUAUCAUCUAUUAAAAUCUAUCAAAACCUUUCAAACUACCUCAGCUUCUCGUCAUCUUUUCAUUAUUUCAUUUUGUCAUUUUUUAAUAUAUUUUCCAUCGUGUUUUCAUCAUUGUUCAAUUCUGUCAUCUUUCAUUCUUAGCUUUUGGUUUCCCCAUCGCUAACUGCUAACUUCUCAAUUAUCACUUUCUUCUGCCAGUUCGUUCAUCCUGUCCUUCAUUCUUCCUAACUUAGCUUAACUUCUUUUAGCAUAGCACCUCCUCUCACCAUCCUACUAACGGCGUUAUCCUGUUACCUCUUUGUAUUAUUUUAUUACCAGAAUCACAUUUACACAUAAAAGCUAAAAUAUUAUUACUUUGUCACCUUUUUUUUCUUUGUCUCUAAAAAAGGAUCAUAGAUAAUUUUUGUACAGCCUUUUCGCUUCAGAUUUCUCUUCAUGCUUGAAUCUCUGUAUAAUGCUCUGCUGUGCCAACAAAAAUUCUCCUUGUACAUAUAUUGCUCAAGAUAAAAGCCUUACAAAUCACAUAUCGAUUUCUUUUUAACAUAUUUAUUUGACAUACCUUCAUCUAAAUCCUCUAGACCAAUUCAGUCCAACCACAUUAUAUGAUUUUAAAAAAUCGUCCUAUUUUCGAAUGAUUUACAUAAGAACACACAUAUACGCACAAAUAUACAGACAAAAAAAUACAUACCAAAUGUACAUUGACAAUGCAAAAUGUGAAAUUUUAAAUGCCAACUUUUCAAUUAUUUUUAAAUACGCGCGCGCCCAUACACACACACGCAUGUGCACAUCCUGUUAUGGCUGGUUUGCGUUUCUGUAAAUCUUGUUAUAAAUGUAGAAUUCCGUAACACAAAACGUAUUUCCUGGAGACGUCCAUUUCCUCGCUCCAUUUCUCUUCUAUAUACCAUUUUCAUUCUGGUCUACUCGUUGCCUUUGACAUCCCUAUUUUUGCUCGUUAUACACAUAUUUCAUUCCUUCGUGCUCAGAUCCACAUCAUAAUGGAACACAUUUUUUUACCUUCUUUUCCCUAUGCGCAUGAACCUUCAGAAGUUCAAGACAAAUAUUAAAGGCAUUCACCGUAACUAGUUCACCAAUGUAUGCAAAUGGUAAUGGUACACUUCCUCUUCCAAUAAGUCAUUAAAACUGCUUUAUAGCUUUCUUAAUCCGAAUAACCAGAGCUUGAUAGUAUAAGGAUUGAAUAAGUUAUUACAAAUUCCGCUUGUAACUUAUUCCUGUGCGUGCUGGAUGUUCCGAACCCAUUCAAGUAUAUUCUAAAUCCAUUUUACGCUCCAUUACAAUCACGUUAUCAACCCCUAUCCGAUUAAAAUUGAAACAAUAUGCACUACUGUUCAGAUUUCUUGAUCUUUUGGGGUUAUUAAUAGUUAUACUGCUGUUAAUUUUUUUACUGAAUAAUUACAAAAAUAAAUCCAUUCUCUAUUUUUUUAUAUUUCAGAGACGUCUAAACAUAAAAGAAGUUACUCUUCACAUCUGAUUGCAUAUUUCACAUACUUUUGUAUUUUUAACUCACUCUCUCGUAAAAGAAGUAUCGAUUAAUAUUUGGUUGGUAUUUAUAAAAAGAUUAUACGUUUGAGAAUUUUGAAAAGUUCUCCAUAAAUGCACACCUACACUAUUUUACAUUUAGCAACACUUCAAAUUUUCAAGCAGAUGAAACAAAAAUCGGAAACGUCUGCAUUCAAUACGCUGCAAGCAAGAUAUCUUCCUUUAAAUGUUCACGAUACAUUUUCACCUAUUCAAAUUAACGCUUAUUGAUAACCAGAAGACUAAUUGAAGCUUUUAAAAUAUUUAUAUAUUAAAAUUUGUUAUUCCAAUCGAAACGUGAGGAAAUGAAUUCUAAAGAUGUCCAGCAUUUUCAUGAAGCGAUUUUAACUCAGACCUAAAAAAUAAAUAGUUUUAGAGUUGUAUUUGUUUGAUAAGUGACUUGAUCUGGAACUUUGUGUCAAGACCGAAACAAUUAGAACGGGAAAUAGUCAUGAAAAAAAACUAUUUUAUUCACGUUCGUUUAUUUCUUAACAGAAAUGUCUGCUUUCUGAUUACUGAAACUUCACAGUAGCUAAUAUUAUCAUCUGCAAAAGUUAUCGUAACUGUUUUUUGUGUUCUUGAAUGGUCAAACUGAUUCUUCAACGAGGUAACUGUAAAACUAUAUUUUAACUGUGAACUCCAUCCACAAUUACAUCCUUUCAUACCACAAUUGUUUGGGCCAAUGGGUCUAGUUUAUGACAUGAAUACAGCACAACAUUAGUGACAGAAAACGAAAUAUCCAUCACACAGUGUAUUGGUUGACAUCCAUUGGUUUGGUCAACAUGGACCUCUAAAACAAAGUUUUAGAAAUAUUUUAUUUUAGAAGCUAUUUUAGAAAUAUUUUUUUCUUCUUUACCAACAAAAUAUUUUAUAUUGCUCUGGUAUAAUUCUAAUUUUUGGGUAGUGCAGAAUAAUGAGACCGACUAUCAAUUUGAAAUCCAAACUCAAAUGAAUAUGGAUUACCAGUUAAUAUCUGAGAAUUUUUUCAUUGUCUUCCAACAGAAAUAUCUAAUUACUAAUUACUAUUUUUAUUUUUUCAGUGGCUGAGAAUAAAUGAAAUGAAUGACUGCAUUUAUAGAGCACCACGGCUGCUAAAGGUCAGGCAGUCAGAGGAGCAGAACAAUAAUACUGCGAACACAAAAUAAAUUAGAUAUUAAUGAUGAAUCUCGAAAUAUGUUGAAAUAACAGAAUAGCAUUUUUAUUUUAAAAAAUGAAUUUCUCAUUCUCCAUAUAUGAAGUUAUGUGCCCGUUUGGUGUCAACUUUUUUAAAAACGUUUAUUAUUUAUCUCUUACAGGUAUAUAAUGUAGUAUAGCUUGAUCAUAAUAAUACUGGAAUCAUCAAAUUCGUCUACCAAGUGAAUGACCAACCUGCAUCGCGGUCAAACAUUACCACCAAUUAUUCUCCACUGUUUAAAGACGCAAGGAUACAUUUUCCGCCAUGUUGUGUUAUUCCUCCCCAACGACAGAUGAAGUUAACAUCGCAUGCCAGAAGUAUCGUGUCACGCCAGUUCGUUCAAACUCGGUCCACUACACAUCAUUGAAAAUAUCAGAUCAGAAAUGUGGCCGAGUUAUUAUAACACAGCCUGAUAAUUGCACACUGAGUCAACCCUUACCACCGCGGACCACAAAUUACAUCGGCCUAGCAGUAGUUGUUCUCAUUUGCUUCAACUUACCAUUUGGUGUUAUCGCUGUAUUAUUAUCAAUAAAAUCGAACAAAGAAUUUGAGGCCGGUAAUUUUGAAGGAGGCCGAUAUAAAGGCCGAUUGUCAAUGAUUGUCAGUGUUACGGGUAUUUCUAUUACUUUAGUUACCAUUAUACUUGUUAUUUUCUGGCCCGUGAUAAUACGUAAAUCAAGAGAUGAACAUUAUAUUAACUAACAAUGGGGUAUUAUUUCAAAAUAAACCUAUGACAUAAUUGUUAACAAGUAAUCAAAAUACUUAUUUUUGUAUUUUCUUAUGAAUCCUGCUAAGAAAAUAUUUUAUGUUAGGCUGGAUAUAUUAAUCUGAUGGUAUGUAUAAAAUGUCUGCUAAAAAGUAUAUAUAUAUAUAUAUAUUUAUACUUUUUAGCUGACAUUUUAUAUAUACCAUCAGAUUAAUAUAUCCAGAUUUAUAUAUAUAUAUAUAUAUAUAUAUAUAUAUAUAUAUAUAAUGAUCUCGCAAGAAAUAUGACAUACUAUUUUGAUUUUAUAAAAAAUAUAUAUAUAUUUAUUUUAAUUUUCUAUAUUUCAAUUCUUAAAUGUAAAGACAACUCGAUCAUGUGACAUCUGAACAAAUAUGUAGACGGCAUACCCAUAAUUACCUGUAAAUUUUGUAGGAGACAUAUACUUUGCAUAUAUUUUGAAGAAAAUGUUUUCGAUACAGAGUCUGUACUUUAGGCAGUUGGCUGCAGAAUUUGUAGAGCAUUAUUUAUUUAUGACUCUUUAUGUUCUGACUUCAAAUCCCAUCGGGGUCGAUUACGCUUUUCAUCCGAAUGGUGACGAUCAAAUACUGAGGAUGAUAUAAAUGACUAUAUGCCUCCCUAAAAAAAUUUGUGACUUUGUACCUUUGUUAGAAAUUAUUUUAUUCCCCGUUACACCGAAUACACUUUGACCAUGUUGUUAAUGGCUUCAUGUCUUCGUUUCUAAAGAGGCCUGAUAACAACGUAACAUAUUACGAACUUUGUUUUAGAAAGAACCACACGUUUACAGAUUUCAUUGCAAUAUGCUUUUGAUAAGUUUCAACGUUACAGCAAAAAUUAUUAUAGACUGAAAUAUUUAGCAUUUAUUUAUUGACACAUUUACAUUCAUGUUCCUUCGUUUGUAUACAUUUUCAAUUUGUAACAACCCGACACGUGUGUCAUAUAUAGAUUAUUAAAAUCAUAUUAAAACAUGA
rnacentral:lncRNA from 1 species